rnacentral:rRNA from 1 species
AGUGAACGCUGGCGGUAGGCCUAACACAUGCAAGUCGAACGGCAGCACAGUAAAAGCUUGCUCUUACGGGUGGCGAGUGGCGGACGGGUGAGGAAUACAUCGGAAUCUACUUUUUCGUGGGGGAUAACGUAGGGAAACUUACGCUAAUACCGCAUACAACCUACGGGUAAAAGCAGGGGAUCUUCGGACCUUGCGCGAUUUAAGGAGCCGAGGUCGGAUUAGCUAGUUGGCGGGGUAAAGGCCCACCAAGGCGACGAUCCGUAGCUGGUCUGAGAGGAUGAUCAGCCACACUGGAACUGAGACACGGUCCAGACUCCUACGGGAGGCAGCAGUGGGGAAUAUUGGACAAUGGGCGCAAGCCUGAUCCAGCCAUACCGCGUGGGUGAAGAAGGCCUUCGGGUUGUAAAGCCCUUUUGUUGGGAAAGAAAAGCAGCAGGUUAAUACCCCGCUGUUCUGACGGUACCCAAAGAAUAAGCACCGGCUAACUUCGUG